AUAAUUAAAUUAUCUUUAACCAAAAAAAAAUUUAUUUAUUCAGAAACCAUUUAAGCAAUUAUUCUUAAUUUUCCAUAAAACGUUUUUGCCAUAGAGGAGUGACUAAACAAGCAUCACAGUAAAAAAAGGCCAGAAACAAAGAAACAACCCAAGUUUGGUCCACAACUAGCAACUGCAGAUCAACUAAAUACCCAAAUAUUGGGAACUAAAAGAGCUAAUUUUCAUAUCCUUGCUACCAUUUCUCAACAAGGUUCGGUACCAAUUUUGGAAAAAGAAAUCAAGGGAAGGAAAAUGAACAUACAGGGUAGAGAGCAUUGGGCAUUCUAAUUAAGCUAAUCCAUCGACCCAGAGCCACACAAAAGCAUAAUCAACCAAACAGAAUCAAUUACACAUAACCAAAAUCAACACACAAGCAACUUACUGAGAUGGAGUGGGAGGAUGACGAUGAGGCAGCAGUUUGCGAUGACAUGCCCAGCUCUAGUGAAAACCAAACCAAAUAAACAUUUUGUCCCCUAAGAAAAAUGGUGCUGUUCCAGCGUCUAGUAACCCAGAGGUGUCACAUGCCCUAAAUUAUGUUGCUUCACCAAAAUUCCCCCAAAAAAGCCCACAACAUAGCUCGAGGGUAUUAAUGUAAAAACUCACUACCAGAACCUGCCAAAUGUCAAAUCAUAAUUAGGGGUGGGCACAGUCCGGUGCAGAGCUCGAAUUAGAACUGAAAUUAGUACUGUUUAUUUGGUCCGGUCCGGUUCAAUUUUUAGUAAACAUCGGACCAAAUCGAACUGGUUGGCCCAAUUCGGUUUUCCAAUUUGGGCUGGGUUUUCUUUUUUUGGGGUAAAAAAUCUGUUUGUGUGCUUCAGUAGCAUAUAAGAUAAAGCCUUGUUUCAGAUUCCUGUAAAAAUUUGAGACCGUGAAGAAGGAUGGUAGCAAAUCUUUGACAAGUAAAAAGAGAGCUAGGUGCAAGUAUUGCCUUAUUAGUUAUGUCGCGGACCCUAAUGUGAAUGGGAUGUCAAGUUUGAAGAAACAUAUUGAGUCUAUAUGUAAGAAAUUCCCUGGGAGUGUUGGAAAGGAUAAAAGGCAAAAGAUCUUGUCGUUUGACCAAGCAAACAAACAGAUUUUUUAUCCCAAAAUAAAUAAAUAAAAAAUCGGCCCAAAUCGGAAAACCGAAUCGGGCCAACCAGUUCGGUUUGGUCCCCUUUUUUUCCUGUUUUUACUAAAAUUCGAAUCGGACCUGACCGAAUGAACAAUGCUAAUUUCGGUUCUACUUUGAGCUCUGCACCGGACCGAACCGGACUGUGCCCACCCCUAAUUUUGGUUUGACAUUUGGCAGGUUCUGGUGGUGAGUUUUUACAUUAAUACCCUCGAGCUGUGUUGUGGUUGGCUUUUUUCAGGGAAUUUUGGUGAAGCAACAUAGUUUAGGGCCUGUGACACCUCUGGGUUACUAGACGUUGGAACGGCGCCGUUUUUCUAAGGGGCAAAAUGUUUAUUUGGUUUGGUUUUCACUAGGGCUGGGCAUUUCAUCGCAAACUGCUGCCUCAUCGUCAUCCUCCCACUCCAUCUCUUUGAUUUUCUCCAGUUAUUGUUGCAGUCAAGGUUCGUUCUUCAUUACCGGCUGAAGGUGAUCCAAGUUUUUAAGUUAGACAUCUCCAAACUGAAGCAGUGGAUUUUUACUUUGG